AGAUAAUGAACUUGAAUAAGUAUAUGUUUUGAAAACAUAAAAUAGAAUAAAAAAAUUCUAUUAUCUU
rnacentral:tRNA from 1 species